rnacentral:tRNA from 1 species
GUUCGAGUGGCAGAGCCCGGAAUCUUGCAAAAGGUCUAAGCCCUUUCUACAGAGGUUCAAAUCCUCUCUCUAACU